rnacentral:rRNA from 1 species
AGAGUUUGAUCAUGGCUCAGAACUAACGCUGGCGGCGUGCCUAACACAUGCAAGUCGUACGAGAAAGUUCGCUUCGGCGGAUGAGUAAAGUGGCGCACGGGUGAGUAACGCGUGGAUAAUCUGCCCUUGAGCCGGGAAUAACCCAUCGAAAGGUGGGCUAAUACCCGAUAAUACUGCUUCGACUUCGGUUGGGCAGUCAAAGAUAGCCUCUGUUUACAAGCUUUCACUCGAGGAUGAGUCCGCGUACCAUUAGCUAGUUGGCAGGGUAACGGCCUACCAAGGCUGCGAUGGUUAGCUGGUCUGAGAGGAUGAUCAGCCACACUGGAACUGAGACACGGUCCAGACUCCUACGGAAGGCAGCAGUGAGGAAUCUUGCGCAAUGGGGGAAACCCUGACGCAGCAACGCCGCGUGAGUGAGGAAGGUCUUCGGAUCGUAAAGCUCUGUCAGAUGGGAAGAAAUGCAUGGGAGUGAAUAGCUUUCAUGCUUGACGGUACCGUCAGAGGAAGCACCGGCUAACUCCGUGCCAGCAGCCGCGGUAAUACGGGGGGUGCAAGCGUUGUUCGGAUUCAUUGGGCGUAAAGGGCGUGUAGGCGGCUGGAUAAGUCAGAUGUGAAAGCCCUGGGCUUAACCCGGGAAGUGCAUUUGAAACUGUUCGGCUUGAGUAGGGGAGAGGAAAGUGGAAUUUCCUGGUGUAGAGGUGAAAUUCGUAGAUAUCAGAGGAACACCGGUGGCGA